rnacentral:misc_RNA from 1 species
GAAAUGCGAUAUCUAGUGUGAAUUGCAGAAUUCCGUGAAUCAUCGAGUCUUUGAACGCACAUUGCGCCCCCUGGUAUUCCGGGGGGCAUGCCUGUCCGAGCGUCAUUGCUGCCCAUCAAGCACGGCUUGUGUGUUGGGUCGUCGUCCCCUCUCCGGGGGGGACGGGCCCCAAAGGCAGCGGCGGCACCGCGUCCGAUCCUCGAGCGUAUGGGGCUUUUUCACCCGCUCUGUAGGCCCGGCCGGCUCUUGCCGAACGCAAAUCAAUCUUUUUCCAGGUUGACCUCGGAUCAGGUAGGGAUACCCGCUGAACUUAAGC